ACAGUGUUGGCGGAAGCUCCUGGCCUGAAGCCUCAUUAGUCUAGAGUACAGUCUCCCAAUGGUCAAGGGCAUUUACUCUGGGAUGAGGAAAGCAGAGCAGCGUCCCAGGCUGGCUCCUAUGGUAAAGCCACGGUGAUGGACUGAGUCACCACAUGAAAGACUGGGCACAGGGACGAUAGUGGAACGAAAGAGAAAAAGGAGACCCAGAGAGAAAGGCUCAUUCAGGAAAAAGAUGGAGAAUCUCAGCGGGACUCCUCUUCCUUCUUACGCACAAGGCAUUCUUCUGAUGCUCAUGAUGUACAGUUUGUUAUGUUACAGAGGCAGGACGUAUCUCAUUGAGCCCCAUUUAGGAUAUUGGCCUCAACACAGUCAUUUUAAGGCAGUAAAUCAAAAUGAUUGCAGCACAUAUUGUAAAGCGAGGCAGAGGCAUUUUGCUUUAACAGUUCCAGAAUCAGGGACAUUCAGGGAACCUCUGUGACACAUCGCUGGGCUCGGGAUGGGCUUUCUGACUUUUGCAAUGUUUCUCCUCCUUCUUGCACUGGCCAUAAUCUGCUAAACAGUGGGUUCAGUUAAUGCAUGGAUUUAUGGACAUGAAAAUAAAUAUAUCAAGCACAUCAAAAGAUUUGUGAGAUUUUACUGCAGUGCAACAGAGCAAUAUUAAUCUUAGGGAUUUAAGGAAAAAGCGGAAUUUUGCUACUUAUAAAUCCUCAGAUUCAUUACAAGUUCUGUUUAAAUGAGGAAUAGAGAGGGAGCAAGUGCCUGUUCAUGCCUGAGCUGGUGAAGGCACUGCUUGGCCUUUUACUCACAUGGCAGCUCACUUCUCAAGGAAUAUCAAAGAAAGAUGAUUAAAGAGAAUGAAAAAGAUUAGUUACCUUAAAUCAGUCAGGGGCUACAGGCGGACUUUUAUGACUUUUAUAUGAAGAUUUAUGAACUCAACUCAUUCUUUGCUACUACUUACAGAACUGCACGGCCACUUACUUUUUUAUUUCUUCAUCAUAUACGUAGACCUGUAUGUAUAUACAUAGUAUUUUUCAGUAUUACAUCAUCGCUCUUCUAAAGUACCUUGGCAUAUGUGGCUGUUUCUCCUCCCUUUGUUAUCCACUUUCAUAGGAAACCUAAUCUGUGAACACAUGUUUCUGGCCUCCAGAGCUGGAAGUGAAUAAAGCACAGCAUCUGGGCAGAUUCCACCUCCUCAUCACUCUGAAAAUGGUGUGGGCUCCUUUAGGUUCAUGCUAACUGCAUCGAGGAACCAGGAAGCAAAACAGAAGAAGAAGUAAGUGGAAGACAUUUAAAAGAAGCAAUGUGCGGACUAACUACUUCCUCCCUUUGGCCUGAUGAGCACUGUGGAAAAGAGGAAACAUUAAGGCUAGGGAACCUGAUUUGGAUCUGUGAGGGAUUUCUUUGGAACAUCAUCAAGCGGAGGCCUGCUGAAUCCUCCAGUGCAUUGCAAGCUGAACUUCUCAAGAGCCCCCCUUUACCACCCCCACUGACUCCACCCUUUCACAACCUUGGUUCUCAAAGGUCCAGUCACAUCUGAGUUAGUAAUUUGGCACACAUCUAUAGCUGGACGCUGGGGUGUAAAUAGAUUACACUUGCCUGGAGUUUUCCUGAAUGAAAUAUGAAUGGAUUUUUUCCUGAAACUUAUAUUCUAGCAAACAAAGAAUAUAGCUGGAAUUUAGCUAAAUAAGUCCACUUGAUUUUAAAGACAUAAAGGGCAAUCAGCUCAUCCCAGAAUUGAGAAGAAAGCAAAAUCUGAAGCUACAAGAGUUGUAGCAAUGUUGAUAAUAGAGUCAGACUAAGUGGCUAGUUGUGUUGGAAAUCAAUAUCCCAGAUCUUAACGUUAUGUUAAUCUAUGAUCAAAGCUUACCAAGAAAAGUGCUGGUUUAAAAAUGAGUAAGAGAGGCCUGGAGUGAGUGACUCAAAUGAACAAUAAACUCCUAAUAGUCAUAAAAUCAGAUCCAGCUACUUAAGUUAAAAUCCUGGUAGUGUACUUUGAUAAAGCUUUUUUAUGCUAGUAAAAAUAAGGACUCCACUCUAAUAAAACAUAGUUGUCAAUAGUUUCCUCUACCUGACAUCCAAGAGUGUCCAGUUUUGGAACUUCAAAUGAUAAAGAUGCAAUGCUUUUGAAUGGACAUUACAACACCAAAAAACACAACUGUGUGUGCUCUGUAAGAAAAAAAAAAACUAGACUGGAGUGAUGAGAUCAAAACACUAGAUUGAAAAAAGAGAUUCUAGUGAAAGAAGCUAUCAGAGAGAUGGUUCCAGCUAAGAUAAUGUUAAAGUCACAAUAAUUGUAUAUUAAAUGUAUUUAAUAAAAAAAAACUACUAGCGGAUAUUGGAAAAUAUAUUAAUUACUUUUAAAUAAAACUACACUUAUUGCCCUUUCUCAAAAGUGUACC